CCCAGUUCGGAUUGUAGUCUGCAACCCGACUACAUGAAGCUGGAAUCGCUAGUAAUCGCGAAUCAGAAUGUCGCGGUGAAUACGUUCCCGGGUCUUGUACACACCGCCCGUCACACCAUGGGAGUCGGAAAUGCCCAAAGUCAGUGACCUAACCGAAAGGGAGGAGCUGCCGAAGGUGGAGCCGGUAACUGGGGUGAAGUCGUAACAAGGUACC
rnacentral:rRNA from 1 species